GAUGAACGCUGGCGGCGUGCCUAAUACAUGCAAGUCGAGCGAACAGACGAGGAGCUUGCUCCUCUGACGUUAGCGGCGGACGGGUGAGUAACACGUGGAUAACCUACCUAUAAGACUGGGAUAACUUCGGGAAACCGGAGCUAAUACCGGAUAAUAUAUUGAACCGCAUGGUUCAAUAGUGAAAUACGGUUUUGCUGUCACGUAUAGAUGGAUCCGCGCCGCAUUAGCUAGUUGGUAAGGUAACGGCUUACCAAGGCAACGAUGCGUAGCCGACCUGAGAGGGUGAUCGGCCACACGAGAACUGAGACACGGUCCAGACUCCUACGGGAGGCAGCAGUAGGGAAUCUUCCGCAGUGGGCGAAAGCCUGACGGAGCAACGCCGCGUGAGUGAUGAAGGUCUUCGGAUCGUAAAACUCUGUUAUUAGGGAAGAACAAAUGUGUAAGUAACUAUGCACGUCUUGACGGUACCUAAUAAGAAAGCCACGGCUAACUACGUG
rnacentral:rRNA from 1 species